rnacentral:rRNA from 1 species
UACGGGAGGCAGCAGUGGGGAAUAUUGCACAAUGGGCGAAAGCCUGAUGCAGCUAUGCCGCGUGUAUGAAGAAGGCCUUAGGGUUGUAAAGUACUUUCAUCGGGGAGGAAAAACAAAACUAAUAAUUUUAUUUCUUGACGUUACCCGAAAAAGAAGCACCGGCUAACUCCGUGCCAGCAGCCGCGGUAAUACGGAGGGUGCUAGCGUUAAUCAGAAUUACUGGGCGUAAAGAGCACGUAGGUGGUUUUUUUAAGUCAGAUGUGAAAUCCCUGGGCUUAACCUGGAACUGCAUUUUGAAACUGAAAUACUAGAGUAUCGUAGGGGGAGGUAGAAUUCUAGGUGUAGCGGUGAAAUGCGUAGAUAUCUGGAGGAAUACCUGUGGCGAAAGCGGCCUCCUAAACGAAUACUGACACUGAGGGUGCGAAAGCGUGGGGAGCAAACAGGGAUUAGAUACC